rnacentral:rRNA from 1 species
AGAGUUUGAUCCCAGCUCAGGAUGAACGCUAGCGGUGCGCCUAACACAUGUAAGUCGUGCGAUCGAGCCGAACUGAGUCUCCUUCGGGAGGCGAUGAUUGGUGACGGAGCGGCGGACGGGUGAGUAACGCGUGGCUAACCUACCCUCUUGACGGGGACAACCACUCGAAAGGGUGGCUAAUACCCGAUAUUGAUUGGAACCGAUGGGUUCCUCUCCAAAGGCAGUCCUGCCGCCGCGAGGGGAUGGGGCUGCGUCCUAUUAGCUAGUUGGUGAGGUAACGGCUCACCAAGGCUUCGAUGGGUAGCUGGUCUGAGAGGACGGCCAGCCACAUUGGGACUGAGAUACGGCCCAGACUCCUACGGGAGGCAGCAGUGGGGAAUCUUGGCCAAUGGACGAAAGUCUGAGCCAGCGACACCGCGUGGGGGAUGACGGCCUUCGGGUUGUAAACCCCUUUUCUGGGGAAAGAAUAAGGACGGGAGGAAAUGCCCGCCCGAUGACGGUACUCCAGGAAUAAGCAUCGGCUAACUCUGUGCCAGCAGCCGCGGUAAGACAGAGGAUGCGAGCGUUAUCCGGAAUUACUGGGCGUAAAGGGCGUCUAGGCGGUUCGGUAAGUCGUUUGUGAAAUCCCUUGGCUCAACCGAGGAGAGUCUUGCGAUACUGCCGGGCUUGGGUGUAGGAGAGGAGGGUGGAACUCACAGAGUAGCGGUGGAAUGCGUAGAUACUGUGAGGUACCCCGAUGGCGAAGGCAACCCUCUGGCCUACUACCGACGCUGAAGCGCGAAAGCGUGGGGAGCAAAGGGGAUUAGAUACCCCCGUAGUCCACGCCCUAAACAAUGUUCACUUGGUGUCGGCCGCUUAUACUGGUCGGUGCCGAAGCUAACGCGUUAAGUGAACCGCCUGAGGAGUACGGCCGCAAGGCUAAAACUCAAGAGAAUUGACGGGUCCCUGCACAAGCGGUGGAGCACGUGGUUUAAUUCGAUGAUAAACGAAGAACCUCACCCAGGCUUGACAUACUAGUGGUAGAAACCUGAAAGGGGGCCGACCCUGCCUUCGGGUAGGGAGCUAGUACAGGUGAUGCAUGGCUGUCGUCAGCUCGUGUCGUGGGAUGUUGGGUUCAGUCCCGAAACGAGCCAACCCUUGUCGUUAGUUGCCAGCGGGUAAUGCCGGGGACUCUAACGAGACUGCUGGUGAAUAGCCGGAGGAAGGCGGGGAUGACGUCAAGUCAUCAUGUCCCUUAUGCCUGGGGCGACACACAUGCUACAAUGGGGGGUACAAAGGGUCGCAAUCCCGUAAGGGGGAGCCAAUCCAUAAAAACCCCUCUCAGUUCGGAUUGAGGUCUGCAACUCGACCUCAUGAAGCCGGAAUCGCUAGUAAUCGCGGGUCAGCCAUACCGCGGUGAAUAUGUACUCAGGGAUUGUACACACCGCCCGUCACACCAACCGAGUGGGGGGUACCUGAAGUCGCUCUUCUAAGGGCGCCUAGGGUAACUUCCGCAAGAGGGGUGAAGUCGUAACAAGGUA